rnacentral:rRNA from 1 species
UAAGGAAUAUUGGUCAAUGGACGCAAGUCUGAACCAGCCAUGCCGCGUGAAGGAUGAAGGUCCUCUGGAUUGUAAACUUCUCUUAUCUGGGACGAAAACGGGAUUUUUAUCUCAAUUGACGGUACCAGAGGAAUAAGCACCGGCUAACUCCGUGCCAGCAGCCGCGGUAAUACGGAGGGUGCGAGCGUUAUCCGGAUUUACUGGGUUUAAAGGGUGCGUAGGUGGGCUUAUAAGUCAGUGGUGAAAUCUCCGAGCUUAACUUGGAAACUGCCGUUGAUACUAUAGGUCUUGAAUUAUCUGGAGGUAAGCGGAAUAUGUCAUGUAGCGGUGAAAUGCUUAGAUAUGACAUAGAACACCAAUUGCGAAGGCAGCUUACUACAUAUAAAUUGACGCUGAGGCACGAAAGCGUGGGGAUCAAACA